rnacentral:rRNA from 1 species
UUAGGUCUUUUUUUUUUUUUUUUUUUUUUUUUUUUUUGAAAAAACUUUUUUUCUGUCCUUUAUUUUUUUUAUAUUUGAUUUAUUUUAAUUUAGUUUAUUGUACCGUUAGGGAUUUUUAAGUUUUAUUUUAGAAUAAUUGUUUUUUUAAGUACCUUUUGUAUCAGGGUUGAUUAAUUUAUUUGAUUUAUUUUAGUUUCCCGAAAAUUGAAGAUUUACUUUGAUCUUUAAUUUAGUGUUGAAUAAUUAUUUAAAAGAUUUUGGUUGUUUUGAAAUGAAAUUCGUUUUUUUAUAUAUCUGGUUACCCAGGACUCUGAUUCAAUCAGGGAUUUUUUUUUGUCUUUUUAUUUUUUAUAUUCAUUUUAAAUUCUUAAAUUUGGGUGGAUAAGCUCCUUCUUUUUAUAUAAUUUUUAUUCUAUUUUUUUUUGUUGGAUUGAAGUCUUCUAUCAUUCAAAGUUCGUUGAAGAUUAAUUAUUUUUUUAUUUUUUAUUUAUUUUUUUACUGGGUUUUAUAUAAUUUUUUAAAACUUAAAAAUGGUCUUAUUAGUAGAUUUAAAAAUUUAUUUUAUGAACUUGGCAAAAACUACUUCCGCCUGUUUAUCAAAAACAUGUCCUCCAGGUUUUAUUGGAGGUUUGGCCUGCUCAAUGAAUAAUAAAUAGCCGCAGUAUUUUGACUGUGCUAAGGUAGCAUAAUAAUUAGUCUUUUAAUUGAGGUCUAGAAUGAAGGGUUAGACGAGAGGUAAACUUUAUUAUAUUAAUUUUAUUUGAAUUUUAUUUUUUAGUAAAAAAGCUAAAUUGUAGAAGAGGGACGAUAAGACCCUAUAGAUCUUUAUUUUUUUUCCAUUUUUUCUUAUUUUAGUUAAUUUUUAAUUUCUUUUGGUUUAAAAUUUUGCUGGGGUGGUAGAUAAAAUUUUAAUCUUUAUUUUUUUUUUACAUUUUUUUAUGUUAUUUUGAUCCUUUUUUUUGAUUAUAAGAUUAAGAUACCUUAGGGAUAACAGCGUUAUAAUUCUGGAGAGUUCACAUUGAUAGAAUUGUUUGCGACCUCGAUGUUGGAUUAAAAAUUUCUGUGAGGCAGGUUUCACAGGUUAGGGUCUGUUCGACCUUUAAAAUUUUACAUGAUCUGAGUUCAAGCCGGCGUGAGCCAGGUUGGUUUCUAUCUUCUUUGAUUUUAUUCUAAUUGGUACGAAAGGAUUUUUAGAAAUGUAAUAUUUUGCUU